UCGCUGUGAUGAUGCUUUUUUUCCUAGCCAUUCGUAGUUUCCACCAGAGGUCGAACAGGCCAAAGACGGCUUCUUCCUUGGAUGUCUGAGCGA